rnacentral:misc_RNA from 1 species
UUUCCGUAGGUGAACCUGCGGAAGGAUCAUUCAUAAUAAGUGCUUUAUGGCACUUUUUUAAAUCCAUAUCCACCUUGUGUGCAAUGUCAGGGUUGAUUUUUCUCUCGAGAGGAUCAGCCCCCAAACAUCAACUAUAUCUCAACUCUUUGUCUGAAAAAUAUUAUGAAUAAAACAAUUCAAAAUACAACUUUCAACAACGGAUCUCUUGGCUCUC